rnacentral:lncRNA from 1 species
AGAGUCAGACCUAGGCUCUCGCAGAGAACUGCAUCGCGCUCCCAGCUCUGCUGCCUCGGUGCGGGGACGGGGCUCUGCAUGAGGACUGGGAAUGUAAGUCCCGGGCCUGGACAGGCGCCCCUGGGAGCUAGCCUGGAGGAGAUUCAGUAGAAGGCUGAGGAGUCGGCUUGGAGGGUCUCGGCAAGGCGGCGCGGAUGGAGAUGAAGCUGCGAAGAAUGCUGAGAAAGAGCGGCCGGGGGCCUUGGAGGGAAGCUAGGGAAACGCUGCGGGGGCAGCCGAGGCCGUCGGCGCCCCGGGAGAAGAGACCUUCACUGCUUCUAUCAGUCACCAUAUCUGAAUCUUGGCUUGCCACUCAAUCCUCCAAUAUCGACCAACAACAGGAGAUUCUCUCUAUCUGAGGGGGGAGGUGUGUUUCCCUGACUAGACUCUAAAUACAAAUCCUCCACUUCUCCAUCUGUCUCUCCAGUGAUCUCAGAGGCAUGGUCUUAACACCGCGCACAGUUCCUUGCAAGUUGAAGAGUAGACCCAAAUGAUCAGUUCUAAAAUUCUAUUCUUAUUGAAGAUUACUGGUGGAAAUAUCAAUGCAAACAAAAUGAAAAAGUUCAACAAUGAUUAAUACUGCAUUUCAACAGAAGAAUCAAAUCAUCUUGACAAAACUUCAAUGGGCAAAAUUUGCCUUGGGGAAUUUUAUGCAGGGGAAUCCUUGGGUCUGAUGUGUGGUGGGCUUUGGAUGUGUUGUGUAGCUCAGUGUCCCUUCCUGCUACUCCUAGUCAUCUCCAGAAACUCAGACCACCCAUCUACUAAAGGCAGGUGGAUGAGCAAGGGGGCCUCGGAGGCAUUCCGGAUCACACUGAACCUGAGCCCCACCGCCUGACCCACUCAGUGUCACUGUUAACAGAAACUCGCUGCCAUCUGGCCUCAGGCCUGCCUCCUUCCUAUAGAACUUGACACUGGAAGCACCAGGCGAGCUGGACCUUCUGCUGCUACUGCACUCCCAUGAUGCAGCCUGAGAAUGAAGCCCACCAGAGUGACAGAGAGCAGACCUGAGUGGUGAGCUGGUGACACAGGGUGUGGGUGGUGUCCCUUGAGCUUCGACACCACGCCACACCUGAAACCAGCCUGACAUCCAUGAUUUUGCUUUUUUGCUUAAACCAGUCUGCGUCAUUUUCAACAAAAGAGUUCUACUAGAUAUGACAAAUUUCUCUAGAAGACCUAAGAAGUGAAAGACUUGAAGCUAUUCCAGUGGUUCAGGAACUAGGACACUGGUAGGAAACUGGAAAGAAGGCAUCAGAGUUAAGGAAAUAUUUAUGAGGUCAACUCUGGAAGUCUUGGUUACUGAGUGAAUACAGUGGCUGAGAGGAAUGGAAGCAUCCAACCAAAUAAAAAAAGAUGGUGCUGAGAUUUGGGUUAUGAGGUCAAUGACUGAAGCAAUGCGAUUAACUGAGUUAGGAGUCUCAAAUAUAGGAUGAGUGCAGAGUUGAGGAUGAAGAAUUCUGCUUUGGACACAAUGAGUGUGAGGUGCCCAAGGAUAACCCAACGGGAAGCAGUCACACCAAAGCAACAGGGUGUGCACCUGAAACUCAGAAGGGUGAUUGGGCUAUGGUGAAGAUUCCUGAUCACCCAUAAAUGAAUUCAUUAAAAGCAUGAGAGUGAGUGGAGGGGCCCCUAGAAUAUGGUGGGUGCAUGAGACUAACCCUAGAUUGGGGAUAGCUCCCUGGGAAAUCCAAGGGACAAGGUGAGGAGGAGGAGGCGGAGCCCACCAAGGAAACUAGAAAGAGACCGCUGGAGAGGUCCGAGGACAGCAAGGAGCACAGCCUUCAAGUCUGGGAGCCAACUAUCCAAGAAGAGAGUGGUUUGCUAUGGAUGCCGUGGGCCACCACGUCCCAUCUAGGAAAGCAAGUUGAGGUCUCUCUUGAAUACAUUGGGAUUGAUUACCCAGACUUUAAAGAAUCUAUGUCCCCUACUUCCCUUCAUUCACUCUGCUCUUUACCUUCUCCUCUUCCCUGGUCACCAGCACCUCUGCUAAAGGGUGGAGAAAGGAACUUCUGAUCAGUUACAGAAAAGCUUUGGGGUUACGUGGUGCAAGCUGCUCUGCCUCUGUUUGUGAAGAAAUUAGACUAUGGCCAGCCAUGUGAGUGGCAUCACUUUGGUUUCUGGAGCAAUAGUUAGUAGCAACUUUUAGAGGUGGUCAUUUCGGUUCCCUUCUGGAAAGUGAUUCGUGUUUAAGAAAAAUAGAUGCAACGUUGCUAAGUACACCUAACAUUUAAACAGUCUCCAGCAGAUAAAUGCUGAUACUGACACUUCUCACCAGAAAAAGAGAAAUACCCAUCAUGAGGAAGAGAAAUGACUUUUGUUCAGUUAUGCUCCCGGGUCCCCUUUCACUGGAGGGAUAUCUCAGCUUUCUGAGCCCCUGGUUACUGCAAUCCUCGGUUCCAGAACCCAGCAAUUCCUAUCAUCACAAUUGUUUCAAGUCUUAUCCAAGCCCUGUAUAUUUCAGAUCAUCCUUAAUUUCUUGUUCUGUACCCAGAGGAGAUCAGGAAAACCUUUAAGUCUCUAUGUGAGGCAAAUACAUCCUCCUCACUGCCCCAGCCCCAUGUGAUUGAUGAAGCAACUGAGGAAGAGAAGUAGGGUGCUUCUGGCACUGGAGGAGCGCAGUGCUGAGAAACUCCGGGCUCCAUUCGGAAAUAGCACUGAUUUCUUAGUGUACUUUUUUUUGGUGUUAAUAUAGAAAACAUCAAAAACACAGUUAAAAGAAUGAAGCAUGUCUACAUACGUGUGGCCAGAAAGACUGACCAGAAGCUGGUAGCAGUGAGGGAUGACAGUGCUUGCCCCUGGGUUGAAUAGUGGAAGAGUUAGGGGGGAAACAGUCUGCUCUUUGAGACCCUUUCAAUUUCAUGUGAUGGAUUUACAGAGACAGAUGAAUUAAACAUUAUAUAAAAAAGGAAUAAAACCACUGGUAGGAUCUGUAUUCCAGGAAGAAAAAAGCAUAUUACAUAAUAGGUCAAUGCACAGAAAUAAAAAAAGGAAUUUAACUAGA